rnacentral:rRNA from 1 species
CCUACGGGAGGCAGCAGUGAGGAAUAUUGGUCAAUGGGCGGGAGCCUGAACCAGCCAAGUCGCGUGAGGGAAGACGGUCCUAUGGAUUGUAAACCUCUUUAGGCGGGGAGCAAUGCCGGGCACGCGUGCCCGGAGGGAGAGUACCCGCAGAAUAAGCAUCGGCUAACUCCGUGCCAGCAGCCGCGGUAAUACGGAGGAUGCGAGCGUUAUCGGGAUUUGUUGGGUUUAAAGGGUGCGUAGGCGGAUUGUUAAGUCAGCGGUAAAAUGUCCGGGCUCAACCCGGGCCGGCCGUUGAAACUGGGUAUCUUGAGUGGGCGAGAAGUAUGCGGAAUGCGUGGUGUAGCGGUGAAAUGCAUAGAUAUCACGCAGAACUCCGGUGGCGAAGGCAGCAUACCGGCGCCCGACUGACGCUGAGGCACGAAAGCGUGGGGAUCGAACAGGAUUAGAUACCCGGGUAGUC